UUUGUUCUUUUGUCUUCUUAAAAAAACUAUGCAUGCUUUUUUGUUGGUUUUUAGGAUUGUGUUGUGUAAGUAAUUUCUUUCUUCUCUUGAGUAAACAUUCAUAGUGUGAUGUGAUUGCCUUUUUUUUUGCAUUCUCAAUAUGAUAAAGAAGACUAAAUUCAAAAUUAUGCAUCACUUGUGGUAGAUUAUUAUCCCUGAUGAGAAUUUGAGCCUUAUAAUGAAUGACAUACAAAAUUCCAUUUCUUUUUCUUUCUUG
rnacentral:lncRNA from 1 species